UACGAAGGGUGCAAGCGUUAAUCGGAAUUACUGGGCGUAAAGCGUGCGUAGAUGGUUUGUUAAGUCGAAUGUGAAAGCCCCGGGCUCAACCUGGGAACUGCAUCCGAUACUGGCAGACUAGAGUGUGGUAGAGGAUGGCGGAAUUCCCGGUGUAGCGGUGAAAUGCGUAGAGAUCGGGAGGAACAUCCGUGGCGAAGGCGGCCAUCUGGACCAACACUGACGCUGAGGCUCGAAAGCGUGGGGAGCAAACAGG
rnacentral:rRNA from 1 species